rnacentral:lncRNA from 1 species
AUUCAUUUGUAGUGUUAUAGGUUAGAUGUAAAGUGAUAACACUAAAAACAGAAGACUAUGAGAAAAAUCCAUAGGUACAAAAACAUGGGAUUGGGUUUUUUAUCUUCGCUUUAAUAUAGGACUUAUCCUGGAAUAGAAAUGGGCAAAGCAGAUGAUUUUUGUACUUAUUUUACCUAAAACCACAAUUGCAGAGGCAGUAGGAGUGAGGCUUUGUGGAAAUGUUCAGUAUAAAUAUAGCCAAAUUUCUGCAGCCUGACAAAGAUAGUCAAGCUAAAGGUUCUUAAAGGUCAGCCUUUUGCAUCAGAAAAAUCUUCUGUGUUGUUGGCUCCAGUUUGCUCUUCAGUUGUCUGACUCAGCAGGGUAACUAAAGACCCAGAGGACAGGGACACAAGUCCUGGGCUUGUUGGAUGACUACCAGAUACUCUAGGGAAGGAGAGCUUCAUUCAUUUUACCAGUAAUCACCUACUGGUAAUUUCUAACCAUGUGUACAUUUCUUAGCAAUAAGAUCAUUUUGUUCUGUUUGUUCGUUUGUUCUGUUUGAUUUCAAAGCAUAUGAUUUUUAAAGAUAACUUAAUGUUAAUGUGGGCUUUCUAUCAUUGUAGAUAUGAGUGAGGCAAAUUUUAAAUAUUCAUAUGCUACUAAAUCAUUUCAACUGAACUCUGAGACCAAGUAAAUAUUUCCACUGCAUACUGUUCAUUUUGCUUUGAUUUUAUAAAAGCUGAAAUUAUUU